GCAGAGCCGUCGUAGAGAGAGCGCGCGCGUGCAGUGCAGCGAGAGUGAGAGAGAGAGAGAGAGAGCAAGCGAGAUUCCACCUCGCCUGGGGAUCGGAGUGUGAGUUGCACAGUGCGGAUCGACUCUCCUCUGCAGUCGUCGCUUUCUCGGCUGGUGCGACAGUGUCGUUUUCGGUCGCGUGCACGCGCGUGUCGCCGAGCAGAAAGAGAGAGAGAGAGAGAGAGACAGAGAGAGAGAGAGAGAGAGAUGUGCGCGAGGUGAGCAGCAGUGCUGGGAACGACGACGAGCCGGAAGAGCGAGUGCGACAGCGCCACGACGAGGAGAACGACGAGGACGACGAGGACGACGCCGAGGACGACGACGAGGAGCACGUCUAGGGCGACGCGAAGCAGGCGCAGACGAGGAAGGAGACGGCUCGAGCCUAUUUAUAGCCGCCGCUCUAGCUGCUCGUCGCAGGCCAGUCUCGCCGCGAGAGCCGCUAGCGGUGCUGCUCCUCAGCGACGACCGAGUCCGCAGUGUCGCCGCGAGGAAAGCGCCUGAGACGAGGCCGAGUCCGAGGUCGGGAGGAGGCCAGCCGGAGAAGAGGAGGCGAGGAGUGACGGGGGCCAUGGAGCCGCCGCUCCUCGGCAGCUCGGCAACGUCUUCGCUGCGCGCGCGUUACUCCGGCCGCAUGUGACGACGACCGCGGCGGCAUAGUGAGAGAGACGCAGCCUCGCAGACGCCGACCAGUCGGCAGCUCGUAGCUGACUGUGGGACCUCCAGUUCGGGAGGUAGGACGAGGGAGGCGGCGCGGCGGGCGGCGGAGGCAGGAGGCGGCGGCGGGCGCGGCAGCGUGGAAGCAUCGGCGGCGGCGGCGGCAGCGCGGCGACUGCGCUCCGGCGGCGCUCCGGUGCCGGUGGCCCCACUACAGCAACAGCGACGUAGUUCCCGGCCAUCAUCGUCAUCACCACUACCACCAUCCUCAUCAUCGCAGUCCAGCAGCAGCAGCAGCACCACCACCAACAACAACAACAACAACAACACUACCAGCGGCAGCACAAUAUCAGCAGUAGUAGUAGCGGCGGCGGCGGCGGCGGCGGCGGCAGCAGCGGCAGCAGCACCAUCGCAGCGCUGCGAUCAGUCCGGUGCAGGCAGCAGCAGCAGCAACAGCAGCGCUGACGAAGACGACGGCGGCGACGGCGGCGGUUACCUCCUCCUCGCGGCGCGACCACGGCUGCUGAGUCGGCGGCCGCUCGACGCCCUCUUCUUCUCCUCAUCAGCAGGGCUCAGCUCCGGAACGGCUCCUGUCCUACGACGGCAGCGGCCACGCCACCGCGGCUCCGUCUUCGGCUUCUUCUCCCGGCCCAGCUCGCUGCUCGGCCAGUCUUGGCAGUUAGCUAGACAGAGACAGAGAGCGUGAGCCAGAGCGAGACAGACAGACAGCCAGAGAGAGAGAGGGAGAGAGAGAGAGAGAGAGAGAGAGCGAGAGACAGUGUGCGCGAGUGUGUUGUACAGUUCUCUCCGUGUGUGUGCGCGCGCGGUGCACUAACCGCCGGCCCCUGCUCGGCUAGCUGCUCUACUCAGCUGCUCCGCAGUCAUGGCGACCAUCGACGGCCGACCGGCCCAGUACGGGCUCACCCUCAAGCAGCUCCGGGAGCUCAUGGAGCUCCGGGGCCGCGAGGGGGUCACCAAGCUCAACACCUACGGCGGCGUCCAGGAGGUCUGCAAGAAGCUCUACACUUCGCCCAGCGAAGGCCUCAGUGGUUCGGCAGCAGACAUCCAGCACAGGCGAGACACCUUUGGUUCCAACAUGAUUCCCCCGAAACCACCAAAGACCUUUCUCACGCUGGUAUGGGAGGCACUGCAAGAUGUGACGUUAAUCAUCCUGGAGAUAGCCGCUCUAGUAUCUCUGGGUCUUAGCUUCUACCAUCCUUCUGAUGAAAAUGAGGAAGGAGUUUUAAUAGAAGACGAUGAAGCGAAAUAUGGCUGGAUUGAAGGUCUGGCUAUCCUGAUCUCGGUUAUUGUUGUCGUUUUGGUAACUGCCUUCAACGAUUAUUCGAAAGAAAGGCAAUUCCGUGGCCUGCAGAACAGGAUAGAAGGAGAGCACAAGUUCUCCGUCAUUCGGCAGGGUGAGGUCAAACAGAUCUCAGUCUCCGACAUAGUUGUCGGUGACAUAUGUCAGAUAAAAUAUGGCGACUUGCUGCCAGCCGAUGGUAUCCUCAUUCAAAGCAAUGAUCUCAAAAUAGACGAGUCCAGUUUAACUGGAGAGUCAGAUCAUGUGAAAAAGGGCGAGGCUUUCGAUCCUAUGGUACUUUCGGGAACUCACGUCAUGGAAGGUUCGGGCAAGAUGCUGGUCACUGCCGUCGGCGUGAAUUCUCAGGCGGGCAUCAUCUUCACUCUCUUGGGUGCAGCUGUCGAUCAGCAGGAGCAAGAGAUCAAGAAGAUGAAGAAAGAGGCUAAAAAGCAGCGGAAGAAGAAGUCGCUAUCAGGCGACGAAGCUGGAGAAAUCGGCAAUAGCCACGCGGUGAGCAAGCAGCACUCGGUCGACGGGGAGAACCACCACGGCGGAGGCACCAGCAAGCCCGAGCACGAGGGCAAGAAGGAGAAGAGCGUGCUUCAGGCAAAGCUGACCAAGCUCGCGAUCCAGAUCGGCUACGCUGGCUCGACCAUCGCCGUGCUCACCGUCAUCAUCCUCGUCAUCCAGUUCUGCGUGACGACCUUCUACAUCCAGGGCAAGAUUUGGAAGAACACGUACGCCGGCGAGCUCGUGCGCCACUUCAUCAUUGGUGUGACGGUACUCGUCGUCGCGGUGCCCGAGGGCUUGCCCCUCGCCGUCACCCUCUCCCUCGCCUACUCCGUCAAGAAAAUGAUGAAGGACAACAACCUGGUGCGUCACUUGGACGCCUGUGAGACGAUGGGCAAUGCCACUGCCAUCUGCUCGGACAAGACGGGCACGCUGACGACGAAUCGCAUGACGGUCGUCAACUCAUAUAUUUGCGAGAAGCUGAGCAAGACCGUACCGAACUUCUCGGACAUACCGAGCCACGUGGGCCAACUGCUCAUCCAGGCGGUAUCCAUCAACUCGGCGUACACGUCGCGCAUCAUGCCCUCGCAAGACCCGACCGAGCUGGCGAUGCAGGUCGGCAACAAAACCGAAUGUGCCUUACUUGGAUUCGUGAUCGCCCUGGGCAAAAGUUAUCAGACAGUGCGCGACGAUAACCCCGAGGAGACGUUUACGCGAGUCUACACGUUCAACAGCGUUCGCAAGAGCAUGUCGACCGUCAUCCCAAGGCAGGGCGGUGGCUACAGGCUCUUCACCAAGGGCGCUUCCGAAAUCAUCAUGAAGAAAUGUGCCUUUAUUUACGGUCGCGACGGAAACCUGGAAAAGUUCACCCGGGACAUGCAGGAUCGGCUGGUGAAGAACGUGAUCGAGCCGAUGGCGUGCGACGGCCUCCGGACGAUCUCGAUCGCUUACCGGGACUUCGUGCCAGGCAAGGCCGACAUCAAUCAGGUCCACAUUGAUAACGAGCCCAACUGGGAGGACGAGGAGAACAUCGUCGCCAAUCUCACCUGCCUGGGCAUCGUCGGUAUCGAGGAUCCGGUCAGGCCGGAGGUCCCCGACGCCAUCAAAAAGUGCCAGAAGGCCGGUAUCACCGUGCGAAUGGUCACCGGUGACAACGUCAAUACUGCCAGGUCAAUCGCAUUGAAGUGUGGCAUCCUGAAGCCAAGCGAAGACUUCCUGAUCCUGGAGGGUAAAGAGUUCAACAAGCGAAUCCGCGACUCUCACGGCGAGGUUCAGCAGCAUCUACUGGACAAAGUCUGGCCCAAGUUGCGCGUACUGGCGCGCUCCUCGCCCACGGACAAGUACACCCUUGUCAAGGGUAUUAUCGACAGCAAGGCCUCGGCGAAUCGCGAGGUCGUAGCCGUCACGGGCGACGGCACAAACGAUGGCCCCGCCCUGAAAAAGGCCGACGUCGGCUUCGCCAUGGGCAUAGCCGGCACGGAUGUAGCGAAAGAGGCCUCUGACAUCAUCCUUACGGACGACAACUUCUCGUCGAUUGUCAAGGCCGUAAUGUGGGGCAGGAACGUGUACGACAGUAUCGCCAAGUUCCUGCAGUUCCAGCUGACCGUGAACGUAGUCGCGGUCAUUGUCGCGUUCAUCGGUGCCUGCGCCGUGCAGGACUCGCCGCUCAAAGCUGUGCAGAUGUUGUGGGUGAACUUGAUUAUGGACACCCUCGCCUCGCUCGCGUUAGCCACGGAAAUGCCCACGCCCGAUCUUCUGCUGAGAAAGCCCUACGGUAGAACGAAACCCCUCAUCUCCAGGACGAUGAUGAAGAACAUUCUUGGUCAAGCCGUUUAUCAGUUGACUGUCAUUUUUAUGCUUCUCUUCGUUGGGGACAAAAUGCUCGACAUUCCCUCUGGCCGAGGAGUAGCGGCAGCCGGUGGUGGACCCACUCAGCACUUCACCAUCAUCUUCAAUACGUUUGUCAUGAUGACGCUGUUCAACGAAUUCAACGCCAGAAAGAUUCAUGGCCAGCGAAACGUCUUCCAGGGAAUAUUUACCAACCCCAUCUUCUAUUCCAUUUGGAUUGGCACCUGCUUAUCGCAAGUGUUUAUUAUCCAGUAUGGUAAGAUGGCGUUCAGCACAAAAGCUUUAACUCUAGAACAGUGGAUGUGGUGUCUAUUCUUUGGGUUCGGCACUCUGCUGUGGGGCCAAUUAGUCACGACGAUUCCUACACGCAAGAUACCCAAGAUACUUUCAUGGGGCCGCGGCCAGCCGGAUGAUAUCGGCGCUAUCAAUUUGGGAGACGAGAAAUUCGACCCAGACUCGGAUAAAAAGCCUCGCGCCGGACAAAUUUUGUGGAUCCGUGGUCUGACACGACUGCAGACUCAGACGAGCAAUAGAACUCUGGUGCAGAAUGUAUCUGUGACAGGCAGAUCCCCCUCUCAGGAUUACUAUAUGCCAGUGGAACCCAUUCGAGAGACUGAGGUAUAAACAUGGCGGCAGUCUUACGUUACCCGCCGCCAGACAAUUCCUGUCGGAGUACAAACAAAUCCGCGUAGUGAACGCAUUUCGACAGGGCCUGGACUCGCGCUACGGCGAGCACAGCAACACGACGAAUCUCGCCGAGGUGUUGAGGAAGCAGUCCUCCCUGAACAAGCGGCUCUCCCAGACGAGCAGCAUCGAUUACGCGGACAAUCUGCCGGACGAGCUGGCCAUCCCCGAAAUCGACGUCGAGCGACUCUCCAGCCACAGCCACACCGAGACGGCCGUCUAAGCGAGCCACGACUCAACUGCCUCAUUGCAGCAUUAUUAAUAGCAGCCCAAGCCGCAUCAUCAGCAGCAGCAGCAGCAGCAGCAGCUCCCAAGAUAUGCGAGAUGGGAAAAAGCAGCAGCAGCAGCAGCAGCAGCAGCAGCCCCCGGCGAUAUUGUGUGCGCGAGCAGCAGCAGCUCAGAGACUGCUCUGUCUCUCUGUGCAGCAGAGACUAUUAUAUUAUUGAAAUACUCGUGCGCGGAUGGGCGAGCGCGCGCGCGGGCUCGACGCUCUCGCACCUCUCGUGUACCCCCCUCGCAUACGCUUAGAUUUACGCUAAUGGUGCGUUAUACCUCACGCGCACAGUGAGUGAUAUACACAUACACCCACUUCUUCUCAUUAUAUACAUUAAGGGGGAGGGGGCGAGGGCCGAGCAGGGGGAGAGUCCAGCUCGCGCGUCCUGCACGCGUCUCCGUGUUCCGUAUGCAUGUAUGUGUGGGUGCGUGUAUAUGCCGUGCACACAACGUCCGUCGUGUACAGGCCGUGUACCGGAGCCGGGGCGUCUCCGCUGGUGUGUGAGCUCGCGCGCGCCGAUCGCGCUCCUCUCUCUCUGAUGGCGAUACAGCCUGACACAUAUACACGUACACGUACACACACACACACAGCUGAGUUGUUGUCGUCGUCGUCGUUGUUGUUGUUGUUCUGUAUAACACGAGUACGGGAGAGAGAGAGAGAGAGAGAGAGAGAGAGAGAGAGAGAGAGAGAGAGUUCUAUAAUGGAAAGGCGCGCGCGCGAGAGCCGAUGAUGAUAACGAUGAAUUUUAAGAGAAACAAGAAGAAAAAACUAUAAGAGAGUUAAACGAGAAAAUGCGGAAAGCAGAAAAAAUGUUUAAAAAAAAUAAAUAAAUAAAAUAAAGUAAAUAAUAAGAUAAUUCGCUAACGAGAGAGGAAAAAAAUAGAGAGUGUGCACGCUUCUUGCCAUUAAACGGGCCCCCUAGCCCCCAAAUCCGUGGAAUAUAUAUAUGUAUAUGUCCGAGCGAGCGAGAGAGGGAGAGAUGUGCUGAGACGCGCGAUUGAUCGAUUGUCUGACUGUCGACAGAGUGAUUGUGAGCGAGAGAGUUAAACAAAUUCAACGGAAUGCGCGCCUCGUUCUUAUUAAGUGUAGGUUGAUUAAAGAUUAAACAAGAUUAAAUAAGUAAAAUUUAAAGUACGCGCGUUAUACUGUGUGACUGUGAGCGCGCGCGCGCGAUUAUACAUACAUAAAUGAGAAAAAAAAACACACCCAUCUACAUAGCGGGAGAAGUGAUCGUUAUUAUAUACACUUUUGCAGAGGAAGAGAAAGAGCGAGAGAGGAGAGAGUGCGAGUGAGAGAAAGGGAGCGUAACGAUGUACGACACGCGACGGGAGUUUUCUUGCGUGGUGCGCGCGUUGUAUAGAGGGAGGGGGAUGAGCGAGAUAUUGUAUAAAUACAUAUGUAGGAUAGGAAAAAAACGGUGCGUGAUCUUGAAGACCGUCCUCAAUUCGACUGCGACAGAGACGACGAAGACGACGGACGAGAGCGACGCGACGCCGAACGAUCUGUUACGUAUAGCGAGAGAAAGAGCGGGAUUGUUAUAGUUUAGCGCUAAUGUAGGCUAUAACCGUCGAAGGAGGCGCCGCGCAAACACUGUCUCGUCGCGAUCUGUACAGAGUGAGAGAGAGAGAGAGAGAGAGAGAGAGAGAGAGAGAGAGAGAGAGAGAGAGAGCGAACGAGAGAACGAGAGAAUGUAAAUACUUUGUUAUCGCUGGGGUUUAUCCGCCGCGCGGGUGUGCAGCCGCCGCCGCCGCCGCCGUUGUUGUUGUUCGUCUUGUCCUUUUUUUUUACCGCUGUCGCGCCGAAAUCUUGCUGCCACGCUGUUCCAGCAAUUUUUUUGUACCGCAGUGUAGGAGGAAAGUGGGCGAGCGCGUAAGAGAGAGAGAGAGAGAGAGAGAGAGAGAGAGAGAGAGAGAGAGAGUUUCGACAGAGCAACCGGAAGCGCUUCGUGUUUUUUUACCGUCGCUAUAAAACGAAUGGAGAGAAAGAGAGCACGCGAGCAAGAGGGAUCACGUAUAGCCGUAUAAAUAUGAGAUCCACACGUUUUCCUUUUUCGUAUGUUACAUUACGAAUAUAUAAAUAUGUACAUCCGCAUAAAGUCACACACAUACACAUGCAACACACGCGCGAACGCGUCUAACCGAUAAGCACGUUCGCUCUUCUGUUACGUUCCAAGUGAGAAAGAAUAAAAAUCACGCGCUCGGUGUCUCCAGUAGUAAACGUCCGUGUCCGGUGCGGCGAGAGACCAAGCGGGGGCGCAUUGUUAUAGUGUCGUGUCGUGCGCGCGAGAGCAGACGAAUAAAAAAAACGGGUAGUGUAUACCGAAGUAUAACGCACCACUGCCUUGACCAGCCCCCUCCUAUACUUUUCACCCCCUUCUACCGACCCCACCCUCCCUCACACACACACACACACACACGCGGACGGAGUAAGCGGGAGUAGAGUCCAAGUCGAUCGAUAUCGCUCGCGCGGGACGAACGAGUGACCAUAUAAUAUAGAGUGCAGCUGCGCCUUCUUCGUCGUGCCGCGAGAGAGCUCGAUAUAAUACAUACUUAUACUUGCUCGACGCGAUUGAUCAGCGAGCGCGCGACGUAUGCGUAUAUUAUACUCUUUGUAGAGAACGAGAGAAUGUGAUUCGAGGAUGACGAGGAUGACGAUGAGGAGCGAGAGAGAAUUUAAUAAAAAUUAUUAAUCACACAAUGGUGCUCGGUCUGAAGAUUCCUAAGCCUUGCGAGAUGUAUACAUAAACGUAGUAGCGAUACUUCUCACUCUCACUCUUUCUCUCUCGUUUAACGGGAGAUAAACGACGAAGGGUUUCGUUUUUACUUUUACUUGUUACCCGACGUGAACGACAUCCGUCUCCAAAUGACCACCCUCCAACGACCCCCUCUGUAAUUAUUAUGUCUAAUUCUCUGUUAUCCCUCUAAUACUUCCCGUAUGAUUUUCCUUGUACUAUAUUAUAUAUUGUUGCAACAAAGAUGACGAAAAAAAAAACGUUGAGAAUGAACUAAUCGAGGAAAAUGAAUAUUCAGUAUCUCUCGGUGCAGUUAAUGCAAAACGAGAAUCUUAAGAAUAAUAAUAAAAAAAAACUAGGGAAAUCUCUCCUCGCGGCUUAACACAAAUAUGAUAUAUAUAUAUAUAUCCCUCGCUGGCCCUCGUCAGGGGCGGAUUCCACGAUGUACUUUUCGGCCUUUUACUUUUCUCUUGAAUUAAUUUAAUUUAUUGUAAUUGUAAUCUACAUAUAAAUAUGCUGUUAUUAUAUUGUUUCCUCUGUCCCCCAUAUUAUUAUAUUUUCUUUCUGAAAUCGCGAGUCGAUCCUUAUAUUGCGCAUUGCCAUUAAUGUGUAUAACGAUUGUAUUACUUUUGUUAAUGUAUAAGUUUACUCGUAAUUCUUUUUUGUUAAUGAUUUUACCGUACGCUGACUUAAGUCUGUAUAAUGAUUUUUAGUUUUUACUUCGUUGAUUACAUUCAGUCCCACUUCAUCCUCGUCGCGCAUACACACCUCUAUUAUUAUUAUUAUUAUGAUUAUUAUCAUUAUUAUUAUCAUUACUAUUAUUAUAUAUUAUAAAUAUUAUACAUAAAUGCAAGAAAUUAACCCGCGCGUAAGAAGCGAAAGUUGUCGCGACGACACAAUAUUACGAAGUUCGCGAGAUCGAAAAUACAAAGAUAUAUAUUAUAUAUUUAAAAGUAAUGAAAACAAAACUCCGCUCGACUCUGCUCACUGUAUACUCACUCACCUGCAACCAUCUGUCGCGCGAGCUAUGCCGUAUAUAAAACUUGCGCAUUAUACACACCUCUUAUAUAUACACACACGAGCGAGAGGAACAAAGGAGAGAUUAUAUAAAUGAUACAAACAAUAAAGUGAAGUCACAAAAAACUACCGCAGAAAACUGAUAAACGAUGAAACAAUAUGAGAUGCUAUAUAUGAUGAACAAAAAAAGAUAAGAAUUCGAGGGUGCGUCAAAACCCCCGAACGCUACAAUCCGCCCCUGUGUACCUCGUUUUAUCGCCAAGUGUUUGAAUCCGAAAGCCCUUAUUUGCCUCUACUUUCCAAACCCGACACUCCGUUUGCCCCUUUCGUGUCCUUCCACUCUUGUACCAUGUCCAGGCAAAAACCAACCCUCGAAGAAUCCUCUUUCUCUUUAAAAGUAUAUUAUACAUAAAAGUAAGGAUAUUGUCGAGCGGCCCGAAGAAUCCUCGUUUAACGUCCUAGUCACUCGUUUUGUUUGUACGCAAGAAAAAACAAAAUAUAUAAAUAUAUAUAUAUAUAGCGAUUAAUUGUUGAUUAUUAAUAAUUAAAUAAUUAUAAUUAUACGAUAAUAAGAUGAAAAAAAUAAUGAUUGUAGAUUUACUAAAUAGAAAGUAAAAAAGUGGAUAAAAAAGUGAAGUGCAGAGACGAAGCAAAAAUGAAAUAUAUAUUAAAGGAGAAAAAAUACGAAAUAAUGGAGGUUUUCUAAUGUAUACUCUCUUGUAAAAAAAAAAAAUGCCGCGCCGCUCGGAUAUCGCGCACCUCGACGUUGUAUAAUCGUUUUAAACAAAAAACUGCAGCGUAUUUACAUGAUAACAUUAUAAUUAUUAUUACUACUAUUAUGUUCAUUACUAUUAGAUGAAAAAACGACAAACUUAUAAAUGAAAUGAAAAAAAAUACAAGACACAAGAGGGAGUGUCGCGUUGGUAGAGAAGCCAAGAGGCGCGCGCACGUAUAUUAAAUGAAAAAAUUACUGCAUAAAUAAAGUAAAUAAAUGAAUAAAUAAAAAAGAAAAGAAAAAACGUGUGUACGUGAGCGAGAGCGAAAUCCUGGAGGAAGGCGAGAGACGUCUAAUGCGAUCGAGAGUCGUUCAGAUGACGAGAGAGAUAUGCAGAGCGAAAGAGAGAGAGAGAGAGAGAGAGAGAGAGAGAGAGAGAGAGAGAGAGAGAGAGAGAGAGAGAGAGAUAUGUCAAGGACAAUUUUUUCGGUGUGUGUACUUAAAGCAAACAAAGUAACGACGAGUACUUAAUCGUAUUUAAGCUCGCUCUCACGUGUACGAUAUUUAUUAUUAACAAGUGAGGAAAAAAAGUAUUUAUUCAGAAUUUUUCAAAGCGCGUAUUCUCUCGCACCGUGUAUCGAACUAAAGAAACUUUCUAUUACUGCCGUAUGCCAUUUUUAAAUAGCACCACUGCACAGACACACCCUCCACAGCCACACGUCUACGUACGCAGACACAUUCUACAUACACUCACGUAUACACGAGAAACCCGUUCGAACGCACUAACGAACGACGCGUUGAAAAAAGUGAAGGAAAAUCGUCGCAUAUACAUAUACAAAACCGAGCUCUCAUCUCUCUGUCUCGCAGCGGUUGGGACCAAGCCUCAGCGAUCACUCAAACGAAAAACCGACAACAGCAAACAACACACCUGACAAGUACACAUCACACAAAUAUUAUACACACCUACGCACUCUUUCGCGCUUGCAAAUAUCACUGACAUUCUUCACACCUGUCCCGUGCACAUAAACACCUUUUCUCUUCUUUUACGAUGAAGAACAAGAGGGAAGGAUAAUCGUGCGAUAAAAAGUAGUAUCUCUAUCAUAUUAUUAUAUCUCGGGGAACGCGGAGAAAAGAGAAGAAUUCAAGCUCACAGCUAUUUAUUAUUGUAUCAGAGUAAUCUCAAAACGUAAUGAAGAAAAACCAACACGCUCUUUCGCCUUGGUCUCUCCCUUCCGCGCGGCCUUCAACUUCUUUCCUUCUUUCCUUUCCUCCUCCUCCUCCUCCUCCUCCACCUCUUUUUCUUCUCUUCUCUUUCUACUACUAUAUACUAAAAUUCUCUUCUUAUCUCUUCCGGAGAACGAAGUGUUCCUGCGCGCGCUCGCGACUAUUCGAUCCAACGAUGAUGGACACGGUCGUAUACCAGUUUAACUAGUGUGCGCGGACUCCGUUGUUGUUGACGAUGGUUUUCCUAUACGAUUAAAAUAAAGUAUAAAGAUUUAGCAAAAGAAGAGAAAAAAGAAAAAAAUUAACGUAACGACGACAUACGUAGAAAAUUUAGUUUUGGAAUUUGUACUCGAGAGUCGAGACGGGAGCGCGCGCUCGGAACGAGCUUUUUCGGUGCGCGAAAGGCGAAACGAACUUGCACGCGCUGCUGCGCGACGAAUAAAACUUGACAAAAUGAAACUUUAACCUACGUACGUAAACAGAAAAUACUAUGAAUAAUGAAUUACUUACACACUAAGAGUAUAACGAACGCGAUGAGGAGGAAAAAAUAAAAACUGUCAUAGAAAUUAGUAGCGCAAAAAAAAAAAAUAUAUAA